GUUCUCCUACGGGGUGCAGCAGUGAGGAAUAUUGGUCAAUGGGCGGGAGCCUGAACCAGCCAAGUCGCGUGAAGGAAGAAGGUACUUAGUAUUGUAAACUUCUUUUGUCGGGGAACAAAGGCGGAGACGCGUCUCCGGAUGAGUGUACCCGAAGAAAAAGCAUCGGCUAACUCCGUGCCAGCAGCCGCGGUAAUACGGAGGAUACGAGCGUUAUCCGGAUUUAUUGGGUUUAAAGGGAGCGUAGGCCGGCUUUUAAGUCAGCUGUGAAAGUCCGCGGCUCAACCGUGGAAUUGCAGUUGAAACUG
rnacentral:rRNA from 1 species